rnacentral:rRNA from 1 species
AAUGCUGACAUAAGUAACGAUAAAGCGGGUGAAAAGCCCGCUCGCCGGAAGACCAAGGGUUCCUGUCCAACGUUAAUCGGGGCAGGGUGAGUCGACCCCUAAGGCGAGGCCGAAAGGCGUAGUCGAUGGGAAACAGGUUAAUAUUCCUGUACUUGGUGUUACUGCGAAGGGGGGACGGAGAAGGCUAUGUUAGCCGGGCGACGGUUGUCCCGGUUUAAGCAUGUAGGCGGAGGUUC